rnacentral:rRNA from 1 species
GCUUAACACAUGCAAGUCGAGGGGCAGCAUGGUCUUAGCUUGCUAAGGUCGAUGGCGACCGGCGCACGGGUGAGUAACGCGUAUCCAACCUGCCUUACACUCUUGGACAGCCUUCUGAAAGGGAGAUUAAUACAAGAUGUUAUCAUGAGUAAGCAUUUUCGCAUGAUUAAAGGUUUACCGGUGUAAGAUGGGGAUGCGUUCCAUUAGAUAGUAGGCGGGGUAACGGCCCACCUAGUCUUCGAUGGAUAGGGGUUCUGAGAGGAAGGUCCCCCACAUUGGAACUGAGACACGGUCCAAACUCCUACGGGAGGCAGCAGUGAGGAAUAUUGGUCAAUGGACGAGAGUCUGAACCAGCCAAGUAGCGUGAAGGAUGAAGGUUCUAUGGAUUGUAAACUUCUUUUAUACGGGAAUAAACGAAUCCACGUGUGGAUUUUUGCAUGUACCGUAUGAAUAAGGAUCGGCUAACUCCGUGCCAGCAGCCGCGGUAAUACGGAGGAUCCGAGCGUUAUCCGGAUUUAUUGGGUUUAAAGGGAGCGUAGAUGGGUUGUUAAGUCAGUUGUGAAAGUUUGCGGCUCAACCGUAAAAUUGCAAUUGAUACUGGCAGUCUUGAGUACAGUUGAGGUAGGCGGAAUUCGUGGUGUAGCGGUGAAAUGCUUAGAUAUCACGAAGAACUCCGAUUGCGAAGGCAGCUUACUAACCUGUAACUGACAUUGAUGCUCGAAAGUGUGGGUAUCAAACAGGAUUAGAUACCCUGGUAGUCCACACGGUAAACGAUGAAUACUCGCUGUAGGCGAUAUACAGUCUGCGGCCAAGCGAAAGCAUUAAGUAUUCCACCUGGGGAGUACGCCGGCAACGGUGAAACUCAAAGGAAUUGACGGGGGCCCGCACAAGCGGAGGAACAUGUGGUUUAAUUCGAUGAUACGCGAGGAACCUUACCCGGGCUUAAAUUGCAACCGAAUAUGGCGGAAACGCUAUAGCUAGCAAUAGCGGUUGUGAAGGUGCUGCAUGGUUGUCGUCAGCUCGUGCCGUGAGGUGUCGGCUUAAGUGCCAUAACGAGCGCAACCCUUGCCGAUAGUUACUAACAGGUUAUGCUGAGGACUCUGUCGGGACUGCCAUCGUAAGAUGUGAGGAAGGUGGGGAUGACGUCAAAUCAGCACGGCCCUUACGUCCGGGGCUACACACGUGUUACAAUGGGGGGUACAGAGGGCUGCUACCACGCAAGUGGAUGCCAAUCCCAAAAACCUCUCUCAGUUCGGAUUGAAGUCUGCAACCCGACUUCAUGAAGCUGGAUUCGCUAGUAAUCGCGCAUCAGCCACGGCGCGGUGAAUACGUUCCCGGGCCUUGUACACACCGCCCGUCAAGCCAUGGGAGCCGGGGGUACCUGAAGUGCGUAACCGCAAGGAGCGCCCUAGGGUAAAACUGGUGACUGGGGCUAAGU